UUUUUUUUUUUUUUUUUUGCAGGGUUUAGCAAAAAAUAAAUAUUCUGUAGUCUUCUUUUUUACAUAGAAGAUUGAAACAUAAGUAUUUUGCAUUUAUCAGAAAUUUUUAUUUUGGGGUCAUAAUAUGCAAGAGUCUUGAUUGCAUAGCCACAAAGAAAAUAGUAAUGUGACUGGUAUUCUCAUGUAAAUAGAUUUAUAAGAGUUCAAAAAGAAAAAGAAGGUAUGGUUUAUCUUAGUAAUUUGCCAACACUGGUAUUUUUACAACCUUAGUAUUACAUUAAAUCUUGGUAAUAGAUAACAUUUGCAAAAUAGUAAGUGUUGCAAGCAGUUCUUCAUCAGGGAAGCUGUUUUCAGGUUUCUUUUCUUAAAAUAAAAAAUUAGUGAGGAAAUAAAGUAUUAUUUGGACUUGAAGAAAUAGUGAACAUUUGUAUAAGGAAAGACAAAAAGCCAGAACUGUAAUCCAAGUAUGAAAUAUGGAUGCCCAAGAAAAAAAACUAAUUUCAGCACUCUUUAUUAAUAUUUUGACCUAUUAAAGAUAUUAAAUAAAUUAUUGUCAUACCAGGAGUUGAGUAUACCUAGUUCUGUGUUGCAAUAUAUUAAAAAAAUAAUUUCAACAUGAUUCAUAAUCCCUAAUUGCAUUAACAUUGAACUUCUGUUCUUUCUAUGCAGCCUUUGCUGUAAACCCUGCAGACUAAUACAUUCUAAGCUCAGAGGGAUUGCAGUCAUUAGUUGUUUAGAUUUGUGGAAAAAAAAUAAACCCAAAGCAGAUCACAAAACUGCCUCCAACAAUUUAUUUAUUAAACCUAUCAAUUUCUGUUUAAACAAAUUUUGUACAUAAAGCCUCAUUUUUAAAAAACAUCAUGUAUUGAGUCCACUACUCUGCAUUCAGCAGCCAGAAGCAUCACUACUUCAAGAACAUGUUCAAGCCCCACAUUUAUAGACAGCUACAUCUGUUAGAAAUUUCCUUUUACUUUCAUCUGGUUUUCUUUCAUCUGGUUUUCUUUAUCACUUGUAGAAUAAUGUACACUUAAACAUUUUUCUUCCAUCUCAAAGAAAUAAAAAAUACCAUACAUUAUGUUUUAGAAAUUAUAUAAAUUAUGCAUUUUGUUUUAACUUGGUUACUCGUAGUCUCUGUUUGGAUCAGCUAAUAAUGUAUUCUGAUCUGCUCAGAUGUUUUAUUCUGCUAGUAAUGAACAAUCCCAAAGGAAGACAAUCAUCAUUCAAGACUAUAUCCUCUCCUGAGCAAGGGUUAAGCCUAAUUUAUUUAUUUUGCAGUGCUAAUAGAAGUAACAGGCAAAUAGGUUAGUGUUUAAGUAUUCAAAGAGGCCAUAUAGUUCUAUUUUCAAUAUUAAACUGUUUGUGAUGACCUAACCUGGGUAUAGAAAAUGCUUCCAUUCAUUUCCUCUAACCUCAUGGAUACUUUUGUAGGUGUUCAGGGAAGGAGCAUUUAGAUCACUUGUGUCUGUGACAAGCAAUAGAGGUGGUGAUGAUGAUAGACUAUUGAGGAGCUACCAAAAUAUGCUAAAACUUAGUUUUUGCGUUUAUUUUCAUUCUAUGUUCAAUUUUUCUAUACAGCAAGUACAUCACAUCAAUAUUCAGAAGGAAUAACUGAAUGACUAGAAAAUGAUACUAUGAAAUUCAUAUGUAAACAUAGGGAUAUAUUCCUCUAUACACACACAUACACAUACACAAGCAUGCAUAUACUCUGUAUGUAUUUACACACAGAAACUGAAAAAGGAUAGCGUAACAGAGAAAUGUUCCACAUAUAAUUUAUUUAUAGAAAUAUAUGAAAAUUUAAGAAUUAUCUAUUAAUAGAUAAAAUCAAUUUCAUGAUCUGAAAAAGUGUUAGGUAAGUAGCAUUUUCCAAGCAUUUUAUUUUAAUUUUUCAUUUAAAAUACAGAUGUGAAAUAAUUGCAUUCAUUAUGUGAAAUAAUGAAUCACUCUCCACAACUGUUUGUGUGUGUUGGUUUCUUCUCCAGGAAGAACCAGUAAGGCAAGAGGAAAAGGCAUCAAGUUGUACAGGGGAUGUUUAAAUUGAGUAUUAGGGAGAAUUUCUUCACUGAAAGGGUGGUCAAGCAUUACAACAGCCUGCCCAGGGAAGUGGUUGAUACUCUGUCCUGGACAUAUUUAAAGACAAGUAGAUGUGGUACUUCGGGAGCUGGUUUAAUGGGGGACUUGGAAGUACAGGGUUUGUGGCUGGACUCAAUGACUAGGAAAUGAUGGCUUAUUGGCUUAGGAGGGGAGAAACUUGUGAAGAUUUAUCCAGGAUGACUUGACCAUCAAGGCCAUUGUCAUAACCACUGAAAUUAAAAAGCAAUGAGUAGUGAAAACAGUGGUCCCCUGGGGGAACGUGUUUGCAAACACACAAUGCUUCAGUGAUGGUUCAGCCUGAAAUAGAGAGCUGCAGGUAAAGGCCAGACUGCCAGCUAGGACUGGGACCAGCCAGGAGUGACGGUCCUACUACUCCAGGUCCAUGGUGCUGGACACAUCCACACCAGAGGAUCUGGGAUCUUGGUGAGUAUGAAUCUGUGUGUAUGCAGAGGAACUGCUCUACAGUUGCUAUACUCAUCCCACAAAGUAAAUUAAUCUUUUAUCUUGUGUCACCGAGGAGUGUGGUUCUGUUCUUGCAGCUACACUAGCCUUAAUUCCCCUGUUGCAAUCUGUUUGGGUCAACACUACACCAACAAUCAAUACUAAUCAAGAAUGCAGUUUGCCUCUCUGAUACAGCUUUAAAUCAGUGUUAAACAAGGGUGCCUAGUAACAGAAGGUACAUGGAUACUGAUAAUUAGCUUUUUUUUAAAAGCACAGCCUUAUUACUAAACUCAGGAAGAAGCAACAAGUUUUUAUAAGGUUCAGAAUAGGUCAGAGUAUCAAUUAUAGCAUAAAGUCUAUAGCUCUUAAAGCUGUUAACUUUUUUUCACAAAACAGAUGCUAUAAAAUUGUUGUCUCUAAGACGAAUUCACUGCCUUCACAAAUUGAGGCAAGCUUAAUCCAGUAGGUAGUGUAUACUUGGUAUUAAUAUAUAAAGCUAGGAUCUAAAUUUAGCAAACAAAUAUGCUUGGUACCGAAGGCUUAAACUGUUGGCAAGACAUGUGAUCUGAUAGGAGAAGAAUUAAAGAUCAAAUAAUUUUAUUCUGAAGAUCUCACAUUCUGACUGUACAUAUUUCAUUAUUUUCUUCAUUUUUUAAAAUUUUAAAUUAGUCAUGAUCUAGUCCUGUGGUUUUGGAGCACAUCUUCUGGUUUAGUUUCAUCAAAAUUAAUCUUAUUUGUGUACUUUAAGGCAGCUUAAUUUUAUGAAUCAAAGCACAGUAAAUCAGUCAAUGAAAAGAUGUUUCAAAAAUGCAAUCUACAUAAAGAAAAAGAAAAUGUAUGCCCUUUCUUAUAUCCCAUAAUAUCUGAUAAACAUCUAACCAGUACAAUUAAACAGCUCAGAGAGACAUACAGUUGACAUACAUAAGGACCCAUGUCCUUAGGGAUAUGAGUCAACGACCCACUGCUUUAGAGGUUGAAGACCCAGACUGCUACCAGACCUGCCAGAGAUCUGUUAGGCUGUUGUGAAAGUUUUGGGUACUCCAGGGCAUUUGCAAUGGCAUUUCUAUGAUUGCUGAGGCAACAGAGCCUGAAUUAGACACUUGAGCUCCAGGUCUCCAGGGAGGGUUGAUUUGCUUUUCCAGCUGCAGUGACUGCACUGUAUUUCAGCAUGGACAGCUGGCUGGCUGUAUGUUAUUUACACCUAAACAAAGGGGCAUGGAAAUUUAAAUAUAUAUGUUUUAUUCUGGAUAUAAUCACAACAAUUGUCUCCAUUGCACACAAAAAGACACAUCAUCUGUAAGAGUGUCUAGUCACUUUUAGUACCAAGCCCAACAUCAUUAAUAUAGCAAGCUAAUUUUUUUUUGGUACUUAAAUGGCUGGUCCUUACCAAGAGGUAGAAUGUUAUUGCUAGGGUGAUAUGCCAGAUUUCACAGACUGGUUUGGAAUGAAAAGGACCCUCAAGAUCAUGUCCCAACCCCCCCACUGUGUUACCCACUAGACUGGGUAACUCAGGGCGCCAUCUAAUUCGGCCUUGAACUCUUCCAGAGAUGGGACAUCCACACAUGUAUAGUUUCUCCGGGAAACUCUAUUGUAGUGUCUAAUUGCCCUCACAGUUAAUAUUUUCUUUCUAGUAUCUAAUCUAAACCUACACUCUUUCAGUUUAGAAAGAGUCACUACAUGUCUGUCCUGUCACAGCUUUCCAGACCAUUUCCAGCUUUCUUGUAGGUACUGGAAGAAUUGUUUUUAUUACUGCCUAGUCUAUCAAAGCACAAAAAGGCUGAUUCUCCAGAGAAAUCUGCCUGCCUAAGAAACACCAAAUGAAUUAAAUAGGUUUUACAAUGUGAAGUUUGUGGCAGCCUCACUCUUAAGUUAAUGCAGGAGUCUUACCAAAUCACAGGGCUUCAAAUCAGUUGUGUGUGGGGGAGGGGGUUGUUGAAAGGCUGUGCUCAGCACCUGAUGGGAAACACUUCAGAUGGAAAGAUGAUAUAAUCGGUUCAUAACACCCGUGGUUAAUCUCUAGGGGUCUGGGUUCAAACAUAGAACAUCAGUAAUGGAAUAAGAUGUGAUCCUGAACUAAUCUGUAAUUGAAAUGUGUGAGUGAACUCACAUUUGAAGCACUCACAUUAUAGAAGCGCUUAUUAUACCUUGGUAGAAGUAGGAUUUUACUUAAAAGCACUGCACCCAUUAAAUAAUUUGGAAAUAGAAAUGCAUGGAAUACUACUAAGCAUCACAAAAAGUCACAUAAUAUUAAUCACUGGGAAUGUUGAUGUAGACCAGGUGUGGAAAAAUAUGUAUAUGAUAUAAAAAAUCUGUUCUUCUCAAUGCUUAUUUCUAAUGGUGCUAUAUAAGAACUUAUGGCAAGAAUAGUAAAAACACAAUUUAGACAGAAGUAGAAAAUAUCUUGCAUUGGGAGAGCAUAGUUAAACUGCC
ensembl:lncRNA